UUUUAGAAGCAUCCAUAUAGCUGUGGCUCACAUCAACUACCAGGAGGACUUUUGUGUUAUAUUCUUUAGAUAGAGGUGCAUGCAUGCAUGUGUGUGUGUGUGUGUGUGUGUGUGCGCGCGUGCGUGCGUGUGCGCGCGCACGUAUUUCUAUUCUGGGUUGGAAACAGGGCCUUAUACUUGCUAGGCAAGUGCUCUGCCACCGAGCUACUCUUACCAAGGCUUUUUACCCAUUUUAUCCCCACACUAAACUUGUGGCACCUAUAGUGUUGUUUCCUAUUGCAUCCUGCCUGCACCCCACCCCCUUCUUGCUCUGGCAUCUUCCAGCCACCUAUUAAGCUUGUGUAUCUCCUUCUGUCUGGAGCGGAUUGCCCUCUGCCUGUGGUAGUAGCCUUUGUGUCCACCGUGGUACCUUGCAUGUAACUCUAUUAUAUUUCUCAGAUUGUAUCAGCCAUAUAAGGGGCCAGCAUGCCCACUUCCUCCCAGCCAUAGUGGGAGAUGCCCAGCUGUGACGGUUGAAUGGUGUAUAGAGGAGCAGUGGGCUGAGCAGUUGACAGCUGGCUGAUGGUUGGACGGAUGAGUGGCUGGACGGACAGAGGAUGAAUGAAUGGGCAGCUACAUGGAUCUGAUGGUUGGGCAAAUGACGGACAGGCUGAUGGUUAAAUGGAUCGGUAGAUGAGUAGACUCGUGGGUGGGUAUGUGAGUGGUGGAUGGAUAGACCAAUGGAUGGAUGGAUGGAUGGAUGAAUGGACGGACAGAUAGAAAGAGGCAAGCAUUUGCAUGUUUUGGAUAGACAGGUGGAUAAAUGAACCAAAGAAUGAAUAAGAACCUGGGAGCCCUUCCUCCCUGAAAUUCCCUUUGGUAUCUGGACUAUUAUAUUUUCCCAUUCUUUUGUUUCUGGCUCCCGACCAGGUUGGCAAAUAGCAGACACCCCAGGUUUAGAAAAAUCCUCUGAGCCAUCGAUUGGGUUUGCCAAAGUUUCUACACUGAGGAGUUCCGGAGAAGUUGCCCCCAAGUGAUUAUCUGUGGAGUAAAUCCUAUUUCCCCGCCGACUUGGCUCAUGCUUUUAGAGAUGUCUUCCUGCUGUCAGGGGCUGCUGCUUUUAGAGCCGGUGACAGGUGGGGGAAGAGCCGAGACUCCCCCGGGAUCAGCCGUCCCAAGCUUCCACUUUCUCCAACCUAUGCUCAGACUGAUGUUGGCUUCAAUUUGGGAGCUCACAGCCAGGGAGAGGCGCAGCAGCUGGGGACAGACUGAGCAUCUGGUCUCAGAAGCCUAUGCUGCUGGCCGCUGGGGCUUCGGGUUAGUCCGUCGUUCAGUUUCCUCCAGACUCUUUCUGCUCAUCUGUCUAUGCAUCCUUCCUUCCUUCAUCCUUUUCUCCUCUCCAUCCAUCCAAUCAUCUGUUUGUCUGUCCAUCGCUCUCCAUUAAAGGCCUCUGAGAUGCCAGGGGACCUUGUGAGAAAUUAAACAAAAUGGCAUUGGCUAUCAGAGCUACAUCCCAGCGGAGAUGGUCAAAACCUGCUUCCUCUUCCUCCCUCUCCAUCACCUCUUUUCCUUCUCUUCUCUUUUCUUCUCCUUCUUCAUUAGUAAUAUCAGAGCAGCCUCUGGAUGAGCUGGCGCUAUCCUCAUUGACCCUGAUAACAGCCCCUUAACUCCUAGGGCAGAUUAAAACAGAUGCAAGUUCAGAAGUGUUCGAACACCCAAGGUAACUGUCUUAAACAGGUCGAGCUUCUCUGAUGUGAAAAACCUGAAACCCAAAAGGAUUCGAUCAGUAUGAGCCCUCAAAGCAGGAAAUUCCCAAUCUGAUGACAUGUGAUAUGUCAUAGUCAAAACUCAGGCGCGCUGAGGCCAGUGGGGCUGGGGAGAUGGCUCAGUGGGUACAUCCUUGAGGCCUGAGGACCAGAGUUUCAGAGCCCAGAAUUCAUGUAAAUGAGUCUAAAGCGUGAUCCUCGCACUUGGGAGCUGGAGACAGGAUGGCAGGAUCAAGCUAGCUAGCGAGACUAGCCGAAGCAGUGAACCAGGAGUUCAAAUGAGAGUCCCUUCCUCCAUAUAUAAGGUGAAAAGUAAUCAAAGAUGCCAAGCUAUCAACCUCUGACCUACAGAUGCACACAUGCCUGUGAAUCCACCUGCAUACACACUCCCACUAACACAUCAAAAUGGAAAUGUCAGCACACUAACAACAUCACGUAAAAUGACCUUUGGGCUCGUUCUGGGUUGUUGUUGUUUGAUGAUGUUUGGGGUUUUAUUUCAUUUUGUCUCUUUUUUUUGUUUGUUUGUUUGUUUGUUUUGGUGUGAUGUUGUGUGUAUGUAUGCUCACAUCACAUCUGUAUGCAGGUGCAUGUGUCUUCCAGUGCACACGCGGAAGACAGGAGUCAGUGCUGGGUGUCUUCCUCUCUCUCUACCUUCUUUUUUGAAGUGGAGCCUCUGGCUGAACCUAGAGCUGGUCGGUUGACUGGGCAGUAUGCCCUGAGGUUCUUCUGUCUCCACAUCCAGUGUUGGGGUUACAGGCAUGCACCACCAACUCCUGGCUUUAUUUUCUGAGGGUGCUGGGGAUCCGAACUUGGGUUUUCCUGCUCGAACGACCUACACUUUAUCCACUGGGCCAGCUCCCCAGCCCCAGAUUCUCACCUAGUGCAGGCUAGCCUCACAUUUUCUGCAUAGCUGAAGCUGGUCUUGAACUCUUGAUCCUCUUGCCUCCACUACCUGUGUGCAGAGAUUACAGGUGUGUAGGAGCACACCCAGCAUCAGGCUGUGUAUAGAAGGUAUAUAUGAAAUAAAAGUCAUCUUCGUGUCUGGACUUGAGGCCUGUCCUUAAGAUAUCUUAUUAUGUAUAUGUAAAUGUCUUAAAC
rnacentral:lncRNA from 1 species